rnacentral:rRNA from 1 species
AUUGAACGCUGGCGGCAGGCCUAACACAUGCAAGUCGAACGGUAACAGAAAGCAGCUUGCUGCUUUGCUGACGAGUGGCGGACGGGUGAGUAAUGUCUGGGAAACUGCCUGAUGGAGGGGGAUAACUACUGGAAACGGUAGCUAAUACCGCAUAACGUCGCAAGACCAAAGAGGGGGACCUUCGGGCCUCUUGCCGUCGGAUGUGCCCAGAUGGGAUUAGCUAGUAGGUGGGGUAACGGCUCACCUAGGCGACGAUCCCUAGCUGGUCUGAGAGGAUGACCAGCCACACUGGAACUGAGACACGGUCCAGACUCCUACGGGAGGCAGCAGUGGGGAAUAUUGCACAAUGGGCGCAAGACUGAUGCAGCCAUGCCGAGUGUAUGAAGAAGGCCUUCGGGUUGUAAAGUACUUUCAGCGGGGAGGAAGGGAGUAAAGUUAAUACCUUUGCUCAUUGACGUUACCCGCAGAAGAAGCACCGGCUAACUCCGUG